ACUGGACAACCAAGAAGGCUAAGUCUGAUGAAAUAAGACUUGACUGAUACAGUCCUCCUAGAAGAAAUGGGGUUAGAGAGAAAAGAUUUUAUUGGAGAAAAUUACAGGGCUGACUACACAACAUUC